rnacentral:rRNA from 1 species
UACGUAGGUGGCAAGCGUUAUCCGGAUUUAUUGGGCGUAAAGAGAACGCAGGCGGUCUUUUAAGUCUGAUGUGAAAGCCUUCGGCUUAACCGGAGUAGUGCAUUGGAAACUGGGAGACUUGAGCGCAGAAGAGGAGAGUGGAACUCCAUGUGUAGCGGUGAAAUGCGUAGAUAUAUGGAAGAACACCAGUGGCGAAAGCGGCUCUCUGGUCUGUAACUGACGCUGAGGUUCGAAAGCGUGGGUAGCAAACAGG